CAGUCAAUCCCUGCUAUACACGACCGGUCUAAUAAAACGGCAUCUAUGGACUGGCACGGAAAAGGUGAAGUGGAAUAAGGUCACUUCAACGCUAGCAACAACCAGCACUCUGAUUUGCCGCUGGGUGAACGGAUACACUGCCUCUUCCUGAAUUUAAGACGUACUGUAGGAAUAGCUGUGGCCCGGCAGGCACUCAAGGUACACUUGAGUAGAUGCCCCUGAUGGACUCCUCAAGCUGCACAGCUACAAUGUGGAGUUGCAUUCCCCACUUCCAGAGCAGUGAGAAACUCAUGCUCCCAGUGCUCAGGUCCCUGCCCAAUGCGGAGCUGGCCUCGAGGCUCUUACCCAAGCCAUGUUGUCAACUAUCCCAUCCUUCCAACCAAGUAGCAUGGGAGCUGAGGAUAUAGCUGCAGGAGUCCAGAAGCUCACAGGCUGAUAUAAUUAGAUGUGCAUCUACAAACCAGGAGGUGAGAAAUCACCAGAACCCAAGCAGUGCUGGCACCUUGAUCUUGGACCUCCCAGCCUUUGUAACUGGAAUAAAUCAUUUUGUAUUGCUCAGCC